UACGGAGGGUGCGAGCGUUGUCCGGAAUCACUGGGCGUAAAGGGCGCGUAGGCGGCCUGAUAAGUAGGGGGUGAAAUCUUGCGGCUUAACCGCAAGGCUGCCUUCUAAACUGUCGGGCUAGAGCACAGUAGAGGCAGGUGGAAUUCCCGGUGUAGCGGUGGAAUGCGUAGAGAUCGGGAAGAACAUCAGUGGCGAAGGCGGCCUGCUGGGCUGACACUGACGCUGAGGCGCGAAAGCUAGGGGAGCGAACGGG
rnacentral:rRNA from 1 species